rnacentral:lncRNA from 1 species
AAGAAGACAAAGCCAUGUUUUAUUUCAGUUGAUAUUUGAUUAAACAAUGAUUAUGUAUGUUGACAAGGGCGGCACAUGUUUCCACAAUGUCUGCUGUUUUGGCCUUGGUGCCUCCAUAAUGUACUACAAUACGUUGUAUCUUUUAAAUUCACCAAUUUGGUGUUCCACUUGAAUUCUGUAUUCACCAAUCCCUGCUUAAAUGUUGUAACAUUGAAACGAGGGAUCAAUUAUAUUUUUUUUUUCAAUAUUCAUCUAGGAAAAACAUCAACUCUAACAAGUAUAUCAUUGCAGCGGAAAGUCCGUCGUUGAUAAAAAAAUAAAUAAAAAAAAUGUGAUAUUUUCCAUCGACCUUUUAAAAAUAUCAAUGUGAUUAUCCCUCCAGAAAUUGAAUAUGUACAUCAACUAAGGUGAAGAUCGUUGGAAAAACACCAAGUUGGUCGUGUUGUGAUACGGAACGACGGUCCAGUUAUCAUUUUUCAUUUAUUUUGAAAGAUUUCUUUAAAGCUUUUACACCAACAAAUUACUCGUUAUUUGCAUGCGGCAAAUAUUUGGUGAAAGACUCACAUAAUCAUAAAAAAUACAUAGAAAGUGGGUUAGGAUGCAGAAUGAGUGCAGUAUUUAUUAAUCAAUUCAACAUGAAAUGUCGUUCAAAUACAUACGAAAUUAGAAUAUUAUAUGACAGAGACAUUUAUCUAUUUAUUUAUUUGGUUGAUAGAUAUUCUUAAGUCCAGUAUGUUUCGUAAUGAUGAUUAUGAUGGUUUUUGUCUUUGAUACGACCCAUCCAUUUUACCUGUAAACUGUA